GGACCCCUUCACUUCUUGGUUAGCCAGGAUUUGAAGGAGAGAUUCUGUCCUGUGCUACUGGUAGCACAGUUCUGGCGGCCAUCCUUCAUCAUAGAAAAAGUCCACAAAUUUGGAACACCUGUCUUUUACUUCCAAAACCCCCCAAAGACUCAAAGAUUUGAAGCACCUGGAAGGAGGCUACCAGAGGAUGUGCUUCACCAAAACAAAGGAGUAAUCUAAAUAAGAAGGCAUGGGAUCCUGAAAACGUAAGAUCCCACAAAGGAAUGCAAUGAGGGAAAGUCCCAGGAUGACUACUGUGUCAAGUAAGUAGGAUGGGGAUUUCAGGAAGUAGGUCUCUAAAAGACUUGAAACAAAGUGUUUGAGUGCAUGGAAAAUGUAAAAAGGGAUGAGACAGAUGUUGGGACGUUACGGAAAAAGGAAAAGACAAGUACGUGGGAAACUAGGUUAAUGAUAAAAUGAAGCAGUUAGAAGUACAUCAAAUACACAUUUUUGGAUAAGUGUCAUUG